rnacentral:misc_RNA from 1 species
AACGCACGAGACCUGCGGACCUGCGGAAGGAUCAUUACUGAGUUAGGGUCUCACGGGCCCGACCUCCAACCCUGUGUCUAUUAUACCAUGUUGCUUUGGCGGGCCUGCCUUUUGGGGCUGCCGGGGGCUUGACCGCACCUGACUCGUGCCCGCCAGGAGCCUUCCUUAAAUGCUGUGUGAAAUUGUGUGGUCUGAGUCUCCAUAUCAAAUUAUGAAAAACUUUCAGCAAUGGAUCUCUAG